CUGUUUGCCGUGUGGGAAAUGAUUGGUAAUAGCCACGUUGGCGUGGCCCUAAAUGGCAUCCUCCUUGGUGAUUCAAGAUAAACGGCAGAGGGAAACGCUCAGGGUGUAGUAGCGAGAGAAAAGAGGCGGGAAAUAAAGUGCAAAUGCGCGGGAAGAGUUUGUUGGAAACCGCACACGCAGAGGGAGCAAAAUGCAUCAGAGUCCUCUCCAGGCGCUAGGGCUGUGAUGGAGCCUUCAAGUCCUUUUUCAUCUUUUCCCGGAUGUUCCCAAGGUCCCACAAAUUGGGCCUGCUGCCGCUGUUGUCGCUAGGAAAGGAAAAAACAAAAAAUUUCCUCCCCUAACAAAGAGGUGCAGGCAGGCACGUGCCGGUCUCCGGCACAGGAGCCAAAGGUGCGCUAAGUGCGUGGGCGCCCACUGGAAAGCCCGGACUGGGAACCGAGGGUCCGGCUUACCUGCCCGAGGCCGAGAGGCCCAGAAGAUGCUGGAGGAAGACAGCGCCGCCUGGCUUUCAAAGCUGUCGGGAUGAGCCCUGCUGGACCUGUCUGGGAAGCUUGUUAAACUGCACCAAUGAACUCAUCUAUUCCCCAAAUUGUGCUGAUGACCUCAUCAUCUGCAGCUGUGCGGCUCGAAGCUCGCCCACCCUUCAACUCCCCGGGGAUCACAUCUGGUGGGGAGCCUUGGUACCUGGGGCGGACACAUCUGGAGGUGACUGUCUCUGGAAAUGGAGUGUUUUGUAACCUCCUUUCACUCUUAUCGAUGCAGCCAAGUGGCAGAGAAGGCUUCGGCAAUUUUCUCCCUUGGAAGACAGCCCUUUGGUCUUCAUUCAGUAAGGAUUUGCAGGGGAAAACAGUGAGGUUAAGCUUAGCGCUUCAGAUCCCUUUUCAUUUUUCAUGUAUACAUUCAUGAGUCAUUGCAGAAAUGAUAUUGGCGGGCGCCUAGGGGGCUCUUUCGGCUAAGUUUUGACUCUGGGUUUCAGCUCAGGUCAUGAUCUCACGGUUCAUGAGUUCAAGCCCUGCAUCAGGCUCCAUCCGCGACGAAAGUACAGAGCCCGCUGGGGAUUCUCUCUCUCCCUCUUUCUCUGCCCUUCCCCUGUUCAUGCUCUCUCUCUCUCCAAAUAAAUAAAUUAACUGGAAAAAAAAAAAGAAAUGA
rnacentral:lncRNA from 1 species